GAUGAACGCUGGCGGCGUGCCUAAUACAUGCAAGUCGAGCGAACAGACGAGGAGCUUGCUCCUCUGACGUUAGCGGCGGACGGGUGAGUAACACGUGGAUAACCUACCUAUAAGCCUGGGAUAACUUCGGGAAACCGGAGCUAAUACCGGAUAAUAUAUUGAACCGCAUGGUUCAAUAGUGAAAGACGGUUUUGCUGUCACUUAUAGAUGGAUCCGCGCCGCAUUAGCUAGUUGGUAAGGUAACGGCUUACCAAGGCAACGAUGCGUAGCCGACCUGAGGGGGUGAUCGGCCACACUGGAACUGAGACACGGUCCAGACUCCUACGGGAGGCAGCAGUAGGGAAUCUUCCGCAAUGGGCGAAAGCCUGACGGAGCAACGCCGCGUGAGUGAUGAAGGUCUUCGGAUCGUAAAACUCUGUUAUUAGGGAAGAACAAAUGUGUAAGUAACUAUGCACGUCUUGACGGUACCGAAUCAGAAAGCCACGGCUAACUACGUG
rnacentral:rRNA from 1 species